rnacentral:rRNA from 1 species
CCUACGGGCGGCAGCAGUGAGGAAUAUUGGUCAAUGGACGAGAGUCUGAACCAGCCAAGUAGCGUGAAGGAUGACUGCCCUAUGGGUUGUAAACUUCUUUUAUAUGGGAAUAAAAUGUUCCACGUGUGGGAUUUUGUAUGUACCAUAUGAAUAAGGAUCGGCUAACUCCGUGCCAGCAGCCGCGGUAAUACGGAGGAUCCGAGCGUUAUCCGGAUUUAUUGGGUUUAAAGGGAGCGUAGGUGGAUUGUUAAGUCAGUUGUGAAAGUUUGCGGCUCAACCGUAAAAUUGCAGUUGAAACUGGCAGUCUUGAGUACAGUAGAGGUGGGCGGAAUUCGUGGUGUAGAGGUGAAAUGCUUAGAUAUCACGAAGAACUCCGAUUGCGAAGGCAGUUCACUGGACUGCAACUGACACUGAGGCUCGAAAGUGUGGGUAUCAAACAGGAUUAGAUACCCGUGUAGUC